GAGGGUAUAGCUCAGUGGUAAAGUGCGUGCUUAGCAUGCACAAGGUCCUGGGUUCAAUUCCCAGUACUUCCA
rnacentral:tRNA from 1 species